rnacentral:ncRNA from 1 species
AGUAAUGUUAUGGGUGAAGGAAGCAUCUAGUGAAGUUUGAAAGCCUACGCAUAGAAACUUGAUGAGGCUAAAUGGUGGAUAAGGUUCUUUCCAAACUAAAGUCCAAAAGGUAAAUUUAAAACCAAGACAGUAAAUCAAGAGGUUUUAAAACGAAAGAUUA